GAUGAACGCUGGCGGCGUGCCUAAUACAUGCAAGUCGAGCGAACGGACGAGGAGCUUGCUUCUCUGACGUUAGCGACGGACGGGUGAGUAACACGUGGAUAACCUACCUAUAAGACUGGGAUAACUUCGGGAAACCGGAGCUAAUACCGGAUAAUAUAUUGAACCGCAUGGUUCAAUAGUGAAAGACGGUCUUGCUGUCACUUAUAGAUGGAUCCGCGCUGCAUUAGCUAGUUGGUAAGGUAACGGCUUACCAAGGCAACGAUGCAUAGCCGACCUGAGAGGGUGAUCGGCCACACUGGAACUGAGACACGGUCCAGACUCCUACGGGAGGCAGCAGUAGGGAAUCUUCCGCAAUGGGCGAAAGCCUGACGGAGCAACGCCGCGUGAGUGAUGAAGGUCUUCGGAUCGUAAAACUCUGUUAUUAGGGAAGAACAAAUGUGUAAGUAACUGUGCACGUCUUGACGGUACCUAAUCAGAAAGCCACGGCUAACUACGUG
rnacentral:rRNA from 1 species